rnacentral:rRNA from 1 species
UACGUAGGGUGCAAGCGUUAAUCGGAAUUACUGGGCGUAAAGGGCUCGUAGGUGGCCAACUAAGUCAGACGUGAAAUCCCUCGGCUUAACCGGGGAACUGCGUCUGAUACUGGACGGCUUGAGUUUGGGAGAGGGACGCGGAAUUCCAGGUGUAGCGGUGAAAUGCGUAGAUAUCUGGAGGAACACCGGUGGCGAAGGCGGCGUCCUGGACCAACACUGACACUGAGGAGCGAAAGCCAGGGGAGCAAACGGG